AUUGAACGCUGGCGGCAGGCCUAACACAUGCAAGUCGAACGGUAACAGGAAGCAGCUUGCUGCUUCGCUGACGAGUGGCGGACGGGUGAGUAAUGUCUGGGAAACUGCCUGAUGGAGGGGGAUAACUACUGGAAACGGUAGCUAAUACCGCAUAACGUCGCAAGACCAAAGAGGGGGACCUUAGGGCCUCUUGCCAUCGGAUGUGCCCAGAUGGGAUUAGCUAGUAGGUGGGGUAACGGCUCACCUAGGCGACGAUCCCUAGCUGGUCUGAGAGGAUGACCAGCCACACUGGAACUGAGACACGGUCCAGACUCCUACGGGAGGCAGCAGUGGGGAAUAUUGCACAAUGGGCGCAAGCCUGAUGCAGCCAUGCCGCGUGUAUGAAGAAGGCCUUCGGGUUGAAAAGUACUUUCAGCGGGGAGGAAGGGAGUAAAGUUAAUACCUUUGCUCAUUGACGUUACCCGCAGAAGAAGCACCGGCUAACUCCGUG
rnacentral:rRNA from 1 species